AGCUUCGUGCAGUGGCAGUAUCGUAGCCAAUGAGGUUUAUCCGAGGCGCGAUUGUUGCUAAAAAGGUGAAAGCAGCUCCAAGGUCCAUUGUCAGAUGAAUGGAUGAACAAUGUGGCCCAUCCACACAAUGGAAUGUUAUUCAGCCUUUAAAACGAAGG
ensembl:snRNA U4 U4 spliceosomal RNA